UUUUUUUUUUUUCCUGAUCCUGGCCUUUGGAGUUUACAGCUGUCCUUCCACAUAUCACUUUAUGGGGAAUACUUAAAAGCUAACAUUGGCUACAACUGCUUGACCGCUGUAUAUGCCAAGGACCAAACUUCAGGUCUCUUACUUAUUCCUGGUCUUCUGGUUCCAGCUCACUUUGGCACUAACUCAGGGUAUUUAAUUUCAGCAGGUCCCUUACCUGUAGGUAAAAGGCAAGCAAUUUUCCUGGGUACUUGUUCCCCUGUCCUCUCUACCAUAUUCCCAAGAGCCACAUUGGAUCUUAUUAACUUACUGUCUAGGGCCUGGAACAGCUGGCAGUGGGGCCUGGGGGGAUCCUUAGGGCUGGUGCAAUCCAUUGUUAGAAAGGGCCAGGUCCAGGGUAGCUGGCUGCAAAGCCCAGGGGUCCUGGGGCUGGGUCCUGGCCUCUUGGGGGUGAUGUCAGGUUCCUGGGUGGCUUGCUGGGAGAUUUGGAGGAGUCUGGGUUUGUACUGGCCCACUGAUGGGUGGGACUGGGUCCCCACGUGAUUGGCUGUUGGCCUGGGAUUGUUGCCACCUGACUGGUGGGCUGCUGCUUGCCAACGCCACCAUCCUCAUGGUAGAAUGAAUUCCCCAGACUCCGCUGCUGCCAGUGUCUAUGUCCCCAGGGGCAGUCCCACUUGCCUCCUGCCUAAGAGGCCCUCCAAGAUUAACAGGUGGGUCUGACCCAGGCUCCUUUCAAUGACUCUCUCUACACUGGGUCUUGAAGCAUCCUCCCUUUAAGUCUGUUUCCUAUAGCCCUAGGGAUCCACCAUAUGCAAGCCCCGCUGGCCUUCAAUACCGGACAUAUGGGGGAUCAUCCUCCUGGUGCAGGACCCCUGGGCUGGGAGCCCAAUGUGGAACUCAGGCCCCUUGCUCUUUGGGGAGAUCCUCUGAAGCGUCCGUUGUCCUCCCAUUUGUGGGGCACCUACUAGGAGUGUGGGUCUUGACUAUACCAGGUCUCCACUCCUCCUACCUGUCUUAGGGGUUCCUUCUUCACAUGUUUAGCUGUGGAAAAUCUUUUCAAUUAGUCUUCAGUCAUUGCUCUGCAAAUAGUUGUAACUUUGAUGUGCCCAUGGGAGGAGGUGAGCUCAGGGUCUUCCUACUCUGCCAUUUUGGCAACUUUUCCCUGAAAACUAACAUUCAAAAAUCCAGUCAAACCGUAACUCAAACAUGGAAGAAUAGAAAGAAAAAAAAUAAUAAUAAUAAGCCUUUGGAAGAUUUUAGAUAGAAAGUUUCUCUCUUAAACAUGCUUCUUAGAAAAAAAAUUUACUGAAGGAUGUAGUCUAGCAAAGUAGGAACUAUAUUUUUAAACAAGCAUUAUGUGUACUACAAAAAAAAAUGUAAAUAACCUAGGAAUGUGAGGAAAAAAAACCCAGAAACAACUCUGAAGACAGCCUGUUGAUCAGUUUAAGUUGUAAUAGAAAGUUGAAAAGUCCUUAGAAGAGUGACUUAAGGAAGAAAGUAGAUUUGAAUAUGUAAAUUGUAUGUUCAGUUAAGAAUCUGGAAUUUCUUAAUGGUAAGAUAAACAUAUUUUUAAUUGAAUAUAUUAAAUAAACCCUAUCAACUAGUAAAGUAUGAAAAAAGAACUGCUGGGGAAAAUGACAGCUGAUAAGUAACCUUGUUUAAAACAAUAAACCAAAAUAAAGAUUUUGAACACAUCUUGAAUAAAUAAUGGAGAAUGAGAAAAAAAUAAUUGAUAUGAAAUUGCUCUUUGGAACAUUCUCUUCUGAUUAGUAAAAAUAAAGUGAUAUAAGGUAAUGUUUUCUAUUUAUAAGCACAGGCAUCUUAUUGGUCCUUCAGUGAAUAAUUAUUUGUGUGUUUAUAAUAUUAUACUAUUCUUUUUUCAAUUUUUAGAAUCAACUUAUAGGAGUUUUCUUGUGGCAUAAUGGGUUGAGGAUCUGGUGUUGUCACUUUAGCAGCUUGGGUUGCUGCUGUGGUGCAGGUUUGAUUCCUGGGCUGGGAACUUCCACAGGCCAUAGGUGAGAUCAAUAAAGAGAAAGAAAAAAAAAAAAGAAAAGAAAAAAGAACCAGCCUAUAGACAAAACAUUGAUGUUUCAGAGACAGUGGGAAAGGUGAAGGUAAACGUAACUAGUGUAACCACUGACAAUGCAAAAGCAACAGUAAUAGAACUGACAGAGUUUGCAGGGGGAAGAGAGUUACAGAAGAUGGAGGAUGAAAUCAGAAUUACACGCAAGUUUAAUACUCUCUAAAGUCGAUGGUUCAAAAAUGGAGGUUUAUUCGGGGGGGUUGAUUUUGUUUGUUUUUCUUUUGGAGGCUGUACCUGAGACACAUGGAAGUUCCCAGGCUAGUGACUGGAUCAGAGUUGCAGCUGCCAGACUAAGCCACAGCCAUAGCAACAUGGGAUCAGAGCUGCAUCUGUGACCUACGAGACAGCUAGAUCCUUUAAUCCACCAAGUGAGGCCGGGGAUCGAACCUGCAGUGUCAUGGAUACUAGUCAGGUUUUUAACCCAGCUGAGCUACAAUGGGAACUUCAAGAAAUGGAGGUUUAGGUAUAUCAUUUAUCUUACAAGUAA
rnacentral:lncRNA from 1 species